rnacentral:rRNA from 1 species
UACAGAGGUCCCAAGCGUUGUUCGGAUCAUUGGGCGUAAAGGGUGCGUAGGCGGCGCGGUAAGUCGGGUGUGAAAUCUCGGGGCUUAACUCCGAAACUGCAUUCGAUACUGCCGUGCUUAAGGACUGGAGAGGAGACUGGAAUUUACGGUGUAGCGGUGAAAUGCGUAGAUAUCGUAAGGAAGACCAGUGGCGAAGGCGGGUCUCUGGACAGUUCCUGACGCUGAGGCACGAAGGCCAGGGGAGCAAACGGG